UACGUAGGGGGCAAGCGUUGUCCGGAUUUAUUGGGCGUAAAGAGCGUGUAGGCGGCUUUACAGGUCCGUUGUGAAAACUCGAGGCUCAACCUCGAGACGCCGGCGGAAACCGUAAAGCUAGAGUCCGGAAGAGGAGAGUGGAAUUCCUGGUGUAGCGGUGAAAUGCGCAGAUAUCAGGAGGAACACCCGUGGCGAAAGCGGCUCUCUGGGACGGUACUGACGCUGAGACGCGAAAGCGUGGGGAGCAAACAGG
rnacentral:rRNA from 1 species